UUUUGGUUCUAUGUCUUGGCUUUAGUUACAGAAAAACACAUGGUACCUUAUGGGGUCCGGUGAGUAAAUAGAACUGUGUUAAAAUGGAUUUUAAUAUUCUGUUUUAUUUUCAGUUUUUGAGCAUAAUUAUUUAAAUAUGACGCUUAUUUUUGUUCACUAUGUGCACCAGUGUUGGAGAUUGAACAAUAAAUUUUGGUUUGAUUCAGUGAGUUAUUAUAAAAGGUCUGGUAAAGUUUGUGCCAGCAACUGCGGUUAGACAAACAGGCCGAGUUAAGAUUUGUGCAGUAUAAAGUAGGGUUAGGAGGAUAUUGUUUAGAUUUAUAUUUGGGGAUUUAGGGUGGUUUGAGGGGUGCAAUCCUAAGAGUCGUUUUUUAUCUUAUAUUUCCUUUAUUGUCUGAUGCCCUGAGAUUCCAAUUAAAGACCGGGAUUUGGUAUCCCGUUAUUCGGAGUGUAAACUUUGGUUUUAUAGUCUGCUGGGGUACUACGAGCGCUGGUUAGGCUAGGCUUAAAACUCAAAAAACUUGGCGGUGUUUCAUAUCCUUUCAGGGGAACCUGUCUCGUAAGCGAUGAUCCACGUUUUAUCUUACCUUGUUUUGAAGCUUUUGGUAAAAAGUAUCAGCUUGUAUACCGUCGCCGGCGGAUCACCCUUGAGGGAUUUAAAGUGGUCGGGAAGAGAAGUUGUUGUGAAGAUUAGUCUGUCGUUUUUACGUUGUGGCUGAUUUUUGUUGUGUUGUUCAUCUUGUUUUGGGUGAGGGACUAAGUGAUUUCUCAGGAUGUCAGAUCAAGGUGCAGUUUAUGGGGAGGUGAUGAUGGGUUACAAUAAUUUAUUUAUUAUACGGAUUUUUUACUGUAAUGUAAAAUUUGAAGGUGGACUUGGAUGUAAUGUUGAAUUAGGAAGUCAUAGUGAACUAGGUUUUGAGAUGUGUACAAAUCGCCCGUCGCUCUCGUCGAAAGAUGAGAUAAGUCGUAACAUAGUAGGGGUACCGGAAGGUGUCCCUGGAAUAUA
rnacentral:rRNA from 1 species